rnacentral:rRNA from 1 species
CCUACGGGAGGCAGCAGUGGGGAAUAUUGGACAAUGGGGGGAGCCCUGAUCCAGCCAUGCCGCGUGUGUGAAGAAGGCCCUCGGGUUGUAAAGCACUUUCAGUGAGGAAGAACGCCUGGUGGUUAAUACCCAUCAGGAAAGACAUCACUCACAGAAGAAGCACCGGCUAACUCCGUGCCAGCAGCCGCGGUAAUACGGAGGGUGCGAGCGUUAAUCGGAAUUACUGGGCGUAAAGCGCGCGUAGGUGGCUUGAUAAGCCGGUUGUGAAAGCCCCGGGCUCAACCUGGGAACGGCAUCCGGAACUGUCAAGCUAGAGUGCAGGAGAGGAAGGUAGAAUUCCCGGUGUAGCGGUGAAAUGCGUAGAGAUCGGGAGGAAUACCAGUGGCGAAGGCGGCCUUCUGGACUGACACUGACACUGAGGUGCGAAAGCGUGGGUAGCAAACAGGAUUAGAUACCCUGGUAGUC